CAGCCGCCGCGGUAAAACGGAGGGUGCAAGCGUUAAUCGGAAUUACUGGGCGUAAAGCGCACGCAGGCGGUUUGUUAAGUCAGAUGUGAAAUCCCCGGGCUCAACCUGGGAGCUGCAUCUGAUACUGGCAAGCUUGAGUCCCGUGGAGGGGGGUAGAAUUCCAGGUGUAGCGGUGAAAUGCGUAGAGAUCUGGAGGAAUACCGGUGGCGAAGGCGGCCCCCUGGACGAAGACUGACGCUCAGGUGCGAAAGCGUGGGGAGCAAACAGGAUUAGAUACCCCUGUAGUCCCUGUCUCUUAUAC
rnacentral:rRNA from 1 species